rnacentral:lncRNA from 1 species
UUAUUAUUUCCAUGCAUGCUGCUAACCCGUUCCAAGCCCCAGUAGACAGUGCUAUCAAAAACCCAUUUUAUAUUGCGAGAUGGAUCAUGAGCUAGCGUACGUACCAGUCGUAGACGGUGGGAGAGUUGGGCUGGGGGCGGUCGAAGAGGUUGGCGCCGAGGCCCUUGGUGGCGAGGUUGCUCCCGGGGUGGAAGACGCUCCGCCACACGCUGCCGCCGCGCGGCGGCGUCGUCGACGACGACGACGGCGUCACCGGCGUGGUCGGGGUCGUCGGCAUCGACUGCGACGGCUUCAUCGCCUCCCCCGCAGCUGCACCCCCACCAA